GACGAACGCUGGCGGCGCGCUUAACACAUGCAAGUCGAACGGAAAGGCCUGCUUUCCCUUGUGGAUUGCGGGUACUCGAGUGGCGAACGGGUGAGUAACACGUGAGUGAUCUGCCCCCAACUUGGGUAUAAGCCUGGGAAACUGGGUCUAAUUCCCGAUAGGACUGCAGGGUGGUGCCUGUGGUGGAAAACGAUUUUCUAGUGGUUGGGGAUGAGCUCGCGGCCUAUCAGCUUGUUGGUGGGGUAAUGGCCUACCAAGGCGGCGACGGGUAGCCGGCCUGGGAGGGUGGACGGCCGCAUUGGGACUGAGAUACGGCCCAGACUCCUACGGGAGGCAGCAGUGGGGAAUAUUGCACAAUGGGCGGAAGCCUGAUGCAGCGACGCCGCGUGGGGGAUGACGGCCUUCGGGUUGAAAACUCCUUUCGACCGCGAGGAAGCCACCUGGUUGGAAGGGUGGUGACGGUAGUGGUAGAAGAAGCACCGGCUAACUACGUG
rnacentral:rRNA from 1 species